GGAUGAACGCUGACAGAAUGCUUAACACAUGCAAGUCAACUUGAACUUCGGUUUGGGUGGCGGACGGGUGAGUAACGCGUAAAGAACUUGCCUCACAGAUAGGGACAACAUUUGGAAACGAAUGCUAAUACCUGAUAUUAUGAUUUUAGGGCAUCCUAGGAUUAUGAAAGCUAUAUGCGCUGUGAGAGAGCUUUGCGUCCCAUUAGCUAGUUGGAGAGGUAACGGCUCACCAAGGCGAUGAUGGGUAGCCGGCCUGAGAGGGUGAUCGGCCACAAGGGGACUGAGACACGGCCCUUACUCCUACGGGAGGCAGCAGUGGGGAAUAUUGGACAAUGGACCAAGAGUCUGAUCCAGCAAUUCUGUGUGCACGAUGAAGUUUUUCGGAAUGUAAAGUGCUUUCAGUUGGGAAGAAAAAAAUGACGGUACCAACAGAAGAAGUGACGGCUAAAUACGUG
rnacentral:rRNA from 1 species